CACAAGCGCAAGCAGAGGAGGGCCAAAAUACUGACUUGUAUUUAUCAUCUACUGGCUCUAGUAUGCUUCUGCUAUCCAUCCAGGCAAGGCAUCACAAAAUCUCAGAAAUCUGAAGAUUUCGUUCAUUCCCUUCUUCUGCAACUGCAAGCAGAGGAGUUUUAUCUUGAUCACUGUUGAUUGAAGUAAUCCUGUAUUCAGCUUGCGCUCUGCCUCGCGAGAUCUUGAAACUAUCGAUAGGCUGGAAGACUGGUUCUAAGGUGCAGCAGCAUGGUUUCCCCCUGGUAAUUGACUGAUAAUUUUCUGUUAUCUAUUGCGAUUCUUAGCUUGCACUCAGCCUUGCGAGAUCUUUAAAACUAUAGAUGGGCUAGAAGACUGCAGGUUUAUAAGCCUCCAGUUUCCAGUCACUGAAGCAAGUCACCUGGGUGUUUUUGGUGGAUCUCCGUUGCCGAGUUUGUCUGAUCCAUGGCAGCCAUACUUGCAUCUUUGCUUGGAUCAUGUGCCAAUAAGUUGCAAAACAUCAUUACCGAUGAGGCCAUACUAAUCCUUGGCGUGGAAGAAGAUCUCAGAGAAGUCCUGCAGCGAGUAGAACUAAUACAGUGUUGCAUAUACGAUGCUGAGAAAAGGAGGACAAAAGAGCUAGCAGUAAACAAUUGGCUCGGCCAACUAAGAGAUGUUAUAUAUGAUGUUGAUGAAAUCCUGGACGUGGCUAGGUGUAAAGGAAGCAAGCUACUACCUGACGAUCCUUCAUCAUCAUCAACCACAUCGGCUGCAUGUAAAGGCCUCUCGGUUUCCUCUUGCUUUUGUAACAUCUGGUCACGUCGUGAUGUUGCUGUUCGGAUUAGAAGCCUCAACAAAAAAAUAGAGAACAUUUCAAAGGACACGGUAUUCUUCACACUCGACACUAAUAUACAGCCUACCAGAAAUGUUGCAACAUCCAAACUGAUAAGAAGCUCCAACCUUGUCGAGCCCAACCUUGUGGGGAAGGAGAUCAAAUAUGCUAGCAGGAAGCUGGUGGACUUAGUUGUUGCCCACAAGAAAAGUAAGUCUUACAAGCUUGCUAUUGUUGGAAAGGGAGGAGUUGGUAAGACAACACUAGCUCAGAAAAUAUACAAUGAUCAAACAAUAAAAGGAAGUUUCAAGAUACACGCAUGGAUUUGUGUUUCACAAGACUACAAUGAAGUAACUCUUCUUAAAGAGGUUCUCCGGAAUAUUGGUGUGCAUCAUGAGCAAGGUGAAACCAUAACCGAGCUCCAGAGGAAGCUUGCAGAAACAAUUGAAGGGAAGAGUUUCUUUCUGGUUCUAGAUGAUGUCUGGCAUUCCAAUGUAUGGAUGGAUCUAUUAAGGCCUGCAUUACAUGAAACAACAUCCGGAGUAAUAUUGGUAACCACACGAGAUGAUCAAAUUACAAGGAGAAUAGGUGUGCAGCAUAUCCAUCGAGUUGAUCUCAUGUCAGUAGAGGUGGGAUGGGAGCUACUUUGGAAGAGCAUGAACAUUGAUGAAGAGAAAGAAGUGCAGAAUUUGAGAAACACAGGGAUUGAGAUUGUUCGUAAAUGCGGUCGCCUCCCUCUUGCAAUCAAGGUAACUGCUAGUGCAUUGGCAAGCAGAGAUCUGACGGAGAAUGAGUGGAGAAAGUAUUUGGACAAAUAUGUUGGCUCCCACAACAUGAUCUCGGAUGAAAUCCAAGGAUCUCUGUAUCUAAGCUAUGAUGAGUUACCACAUCGUCUUAAGCAGUGUUUCCUAUAUUGUGCUCUGUAUGCUGAAGAUUCUAUCAUUUGGCGUAAUAAAGUUACCUGGUUAUGGAUUGCUGAAGGAUUCAUAGAGGAGCGGCAAGGCCAACUAAUAGAAGAUGUAGCAGAAGAGUACUACUACGAGCUAAUCCACCGUAAUCUCCUCCAAGCAGAUAUCUUAUAUUUUGGCAUGGUUGCCUCCAAAAUGCAUGACCUCUUAAGACAACUUGCACUGAACAUAUCAAGAGAAGAAUGUUUUAUUGGAGAUGUUGAAACAUUAAGGGGUGUAAAUAUGUCAAAACUGCGACGUGUUACUGCUGUUACUAAGAAGGAUAUGUUGGUGUUAUCUAGAGUGGAUAAGGUGGAUGUUAAGGUCAGGACUUUCCACGGAGAAUUGAGGAUACAUUGUUCAAGAGAUUUCUGCUUCUUCGUAUUUUGGUACUAAAUUACACACUUGUGCAAAGCAUUCCAGACUAUAUAGGAAAACUGAUACAUCUACGGCUACUUAAUUUAGAUUACACUGGCAUAUCUUGUCUUCCGGAAUCCAUUGGCUCCCUAAAGAACCUUCAAGUACUGAGCUUGAGAUCGUGUCAUCAUCUGCACAAUCUUCCUUCCGUAGUGACCCAGUUGAGCAGUUUAAGAUGUCUUGAUCUUUUUGACACAGAAAUAAAUCAAGUUCCAAAAGGGAUAGGGAAACUGAAAUUCCUCACUUUUGGAAGGGGUUAUCCCAUUGUUGAUGGAAUUGAUAAUGCUGACGUACAAGAUGGAUGGAAGUUGGAAGAGUUGUCUUCUUUGUCGCAGAUGAGGUUUCUUUCUAUUGUUAAAUUGGAAAGAGCUGCUCAUUGCAGUACAUAUGCAGUGCUGACAGACAAAAAGCAUCUAAAAGAACUAGUACUAGAGUGAAAUGAACAUGGAGAGGGAUCAUAUUCAGAAGAAGAUGUUAGCAAUACUGAGAAGGUAUUUGAGAAGCUAAUACCUCCACACAGCCUGGAAGACCUAUGUAUUUCUAGAUUCUUUGGUCGGCAGUAUCCCACCUGGUUUGGUACCACAUGUUUGUAUUCACAGACUCCGAAAUGUACGAUCAUGUGUGGAACUUCCACCAAUCUGGCAGCUACCCAACUUGAAAUAUCUGAGAAUUGAUGGAGCACAUGCAGUUAGCAAGGUUGGACCUCAAUUUGUUGGCUGCAAGAAGGGUAAUCCUGUGUGUAAUGAGUUGGUUCUUUCCCUAAACUUGAAUGGUUGAUCUUCAUGGAUAUACCCAACUGGGAGGUGUGGUCUAUUUUUGAGGAAGAAGUUGCUGCUAAUGAUGAAAGGGGCGAGGAUGGAGCUGCUGAUAUUCGAAAAGAGGAUGCCCAAUCUGCAAGGUUGCAACUGCUACCUCGUUUGGUGGGGUUGCACCUAGAAGAUUGCCCGAAGCUGAGGGCUCUCCCACGACAGCUUGGAAAGGACAUUACCAGCUUGAAGGAGCUUAGAUUAUUUGGAAUAAACAACUUGAAGGCGGUGGAGGACUUUCCAAAUAUUCCCGAGCUCCUUUCUAUAAAAGAUUGUGAAGGCCUGGAGAGGAUCUGCAACCUCGCUCAAGUGACAUACCUGCAUGUACUAGGUUGUCCAAACUUAAGCCAUGUAGAGGGGUUGGGCAAUUUGCAACAACUAGGGUUGGCGGUGGAUAUGCAAGAGGUCUCUUCCGGCUGGGUGCCUGGGUUUCAUGAACAGCACCAACGAAUUCAUGGUGAAGACCUGGAUGUCUCCACGGUUGUCUAGCUGUUAGAUGGCUCAAGUGCAGGACUGGUGGCGCGUUAGCUUUGACGUGCAAAGCACAAGACGUACUCCCUCCGUCCGAAAAUACUUGUCAUCAAAAUGGAUAAAAGAAGAUGUAUCUAGAACUAAAAUACAUCUAGAUACAUCCUCUUUUAUCCAUUUUGAUGACAACUAUUUCCGGACGGAGGGAGUAGUAAGUUGAGGAAGCUUGUCAAUGUUGAAGAUGCACAAGUACCCUGUUUAUGGAUGUGUAACGAGCCGGUGAAGAAAGAAAUUGUCCUGUUUUCCUUUGGGCAGGUGCCCAGGAAAUACUGUAUCGAGUUUCGUUUUGUUUAUUUCUGAAUUUGGGCCAGAGGCUUUUGCUGUACUGAAUCUCCUGCCUGUGUGGUAUUGUUUCACUUAUUUAUUUCUGAACUUGGGGCUAGUGGUUUUUGCAGUACUAAACCAGUGUGGCAUGGUAUCGUUCUCUUAAUUGAACCGGUGGAUUUCGCCUUGGCAUGGUUUUUUCUUUGAAUGGCAUCGAUGAAUUUUGUUUUAUUUUGUUUCUGAACUUGGGCCUGAUGCUUUGCCUGUGUAACCUGUAAGACCAAACCUGUGUGACCCAGUCAUGAAGGAAGA
rnacentral:rRNA from 1 species